CUCACUUGAAAGGGAUCUUUUGGAAGAACCUUAGAAGUUUGUUUUCUUUAUCUAUUAAAGUGAAAUAUUUGAAUUCAUUCAAGUGCAGCAGGGUCAUCUAGAGAAUUUGUAAAAUGUGCAGAUUUCUAAACACCCACCAAUGCAGAAGGUCUGAGAUGGAUUUCAGGAAUUAACAAGAUUCCAGGUUUUAAUAAGAAUCCAGGUGUCAACCAAGAAACCCAGAAGUUGCAAAUAAGGAAAGCGUUAUCUGGAGGUCCUAGAAACUGCAGUACUGGAGACACAGAUUCAGAAGCUACUCCAUGACUUCACCCUAAAAUAAGGGACACAGCAUUCCAUGAACUCAUAAUAAUGCAAGCAAAGGGAAGCAGAGUCAAAGAGAGAAGAUGCUAUCCUGCUGGCUUGGAAGAGGGAGGAAAAGGCCACCAAACCAAGGAAUGCUGGCAGACACUAGAAGAUGAAAAAGAAACUAAGCCCUUUUUUCCACCCAGCUUCCAUGCUAAAUAAAUAAGAAUUUAUCUCCAUGUAAACUCACUUCAUUUUCUGUAAAAGAUCUCAACAGCCACACUGUUCUCUUUCUGACAUGGGGCGUGUGGAUGCCCCACGGGUGGGCAUGAAUCAGGAGGGCAGCAGUUUUCAGGUCGCUACACUCAUACUCAUGCAACUCGAAAGUGCCCAGGCCAGACAGCACCUCAAGGAAGGGCCUCUGGGCCAGCAGAGACUGCAGGGAGCUCAGCUUCUGGUCCACAGAGCCGAGCUCCACCUUUGUGGCCAUCCUCCCCUG